UACGAAGGGGGCUAGCGUUGCUCGGAAUCACUGGGCGUAAAGGGUGCGUAGGCGGGUCUUUAAGUCAGGGGUGAAAUCCUGGAGCUCAACUCCAGAACUGCCUUUGAUACUGAGGAUCUUGAGUUCGGGAGAGGUGAGUGGAACUGCGAGUGUAGAGGUGAAAUUCGUAGAUAUUCGCAAGAACACCAGUGGCGAAAGCGGCUUCCUGGACCAGUACCGACGUUCAGGCACGAAAGCGUGGGGAGCAAACAGG
rnacentral:rRNA from 1 species